GACGAACGCUGACGGCGUGCCUAACACAUGCAAGUCAAGGGGCCUUCGGGUCACUGGCGCACGGGUGAGUAACGCGUAGAUUAUCUACCCAUAUCUCUGACAUAACUGCUGGAAACGGUAGCUAAUAUCAGAUGAGGCCUACGGGUCAAAGUUUUAAUGGAUAUGGAUGAGUCUGCGUCUGAUUAGCUAGUUGGUAGUGUAAUGGACUACCAAGGCUACGAUCAGUAACUGGUCUGAGAGGACGAUCAGUCACACUGGAACUGAGACACGGUCCAGACUCCUACGGGAGGCAGCAGUGAGGAAUUUUGGACAAUGGGGGAAACCCUGAUCCAGCGACGCCGUGUGUGGGAUGAAUCGGUUAUACCGUGUAAACCACUGUCAGAUGGGAAAAAAAGAAUACUUCUGGAUUCUGGGAUUGUACCAUCAGAGGAAGGACCGGCUAACUACGUGCCAGCAGCCGCGGUAAUGUAGACGU
rnacentral:rRNA from 1 species